rnacentral:rRNA from 1 species
AUGACGGCACACUUUCGUUUGCUACUUUCAGGGAAAAGUUGGAGCAGAACAGAAAUAAUUUACCCCCUAAACCAAGAAAUGUAUUUAAAAGGAGAAAGCUGUGCCGCCAAGCCUCAGAAACUUAUGCCGAAGAUGUAUUUCCCAUUUGGUGAAUCCAUGGUGCCACUUCUAUUUAUCUAUCAUGAGUUCCAGUUAGCCCUUUCUGGUGUUCGUGAUUUCUGGCUUCAUCAGGAAAUAUGGCAUGAACGGCAUGAUCUUUUCUUCCGUGCAAUUCAGGAGACUGUUGCAAGUGUUAUGGGAAGCAUCAUCCUUUUUCUCAUGUUCGUCAUCUCUUAA